AUUUAGGGUUCAAUUUUUUGUCUUGAAUUCUGGAUAACAAAAUUUGGAUAGGUGGACGUUAAUGGGUUUAUGUCAUUUUUUAGUCUCAACGUAAAUAUUGGAGGGAGAAUGGGUUAAAAGAUGUGGAAAGUGAAAUUUUGGACUUUGCGUGUUGUUUGGCACUAGCACCCCCCGAUAGAUUUGAAGAUGGCUUGAAGAUAUUACAAAAGAAAAUAAAGGAACAUGAUGAAAAUAUAAGGACAAAUUUAAACAAAUUUGUUAAUUAUAUGAGAAAUUAUUGGGGCAAAAGGAAACAUAAAUUAUGCGUAGGGCACCUUCCUCAAAGGACCAAUAAUUUAUGUGAAUCUCUCAAUAGUCGACUAACCACUCGACUAGGUGGAUGUCACCCUGUAGCAUGGAAAUUCGUAGCUUUACUACAAAAAGUAAUUAUAGACGAAGAAAUUCGUAUGUCCCAAUUAAAAAAAGGAAUAUUUGUGGGAAGUUUGAUAAAGCCACGUGACAGGGAGAGGAAUAUGAUCAUAUAUUUGUCAACCAGGCAAUUAAUGUGUGGAGGACAUUUGGAUAUAUUUCUACGAACCUGUUCCAAAGCCUAAAAUGAACAUUUGGAAUCGUUAUUGUCUGACACGUAUUUAAUUAAAUAAAAAUUUUGACUUAAGAACAAUAUCAUGGGGAAAAAUGAAUAUAAUGAUCCAACGGAAUUUUAUGAAGCAUUAAGCAAAAGGAAAGAUCAUUAUAAAAAAAUAGACUUAGGAAUGAAUAUUUUAAAAUGUGGAAGUGUAAAUAACGCUGAUAUUUUAUAU